rnacentral:ncRNA from 23 species
CGUCCGACCAAUCGCGCCGGUGCCCUUUGGGGCUUGAAACGGGAAUGUGGUGCAAAACCACGGCUGUCCCUGCAACUGUAAGCGGUGAGCGAGCGAUGCUUGUCUCCAUCGAGAGACCGCCACUGGAGACGAUCCGGGAAGGCCGCAUCCUUUCGCUUCGACCCGCGAGCCAGGAGACCUGCCGGUGCGAGUCGCUCUUGC